AUCAACAUCCUGUUUGGCUUUCCAGCCAUCUGGAGCUCGCUUCUGCAUUGCUCCUUUUUCGUAACAGAGACAUGGGGAAAACCCUUCUUAGCCCUGCCUCUAUAGAUCAUUGUCCGUUAAACGAGAUGAGGUGAAGAUUCAGGUUCCUGAAGCUUUGCAGUAGGGUGGAAUGUUGUGGAUUGAGGACCCUGAGCUGGCAGAGAUGAUGAGCACCUAGAAGAUCUUCCUGCUUUCAUUAGAAAUUCAGUCCUAUCCAAUAGGCCACCUGUGAGCACCAUGCUUACGCCACAGAGGAAUAGAGCAAUAGUAAGAGCUGGGUUUGAUGGCUUAUGAAGGGUGGUUUACAUCUAGGUCUGCCAUGUGGCCGCCAGUUUCCAGAACUGUUGAUGGGAUCACAGUUUCUGGAACAAAUGGUGCUUAGAAGUCCUCCUCUUAAGGGGCUUUGGCAAAGGUCUCUGCAUAGGAUUCCUCCCAUGGAGGUGUCCUGAAUCCCUGCUUCUCUCAGAGAUAAGAAACCUCAGGCCUUGGGGCCACACUCUUUCCAUAACACCAUGUAGGAUCAUAGAGAGCUAGAGAGUUAUAUUGAGUUAGUCCAUUGGUCCACCUGCCCCAGUGGACCAGGGGUAGAUGGACUUCAACCUUGUGGGAGCUACUUACCACCACCACCAUGACCCCAAAUACCUCCCUGAGGUCCAUCAUCUAGCCCCAAGUGUAAAAUAGAAGAAGGGGCAGAUAUGCAUGGUCAUUUGUGUAUCUCAGCCAAGAUUGCUAUCCUUGCACAAAAAAAUCCAUUUCUGGGUUCCCCUCUCUGUCGUAGCAAAGAUGGGGGUAGUGAGUUGUUGCUGAAAAGGAAGAGUCAGAAAUGCUUCCUGAUCUUCUGCAAAUGUGAGUGUUUGUGUCAAGGUUUAUUCACAGGAAUAUUCACAGCAGCGCAGACCUUUGUCCCCCAUGGCAAAAUCUGUAGAUCCAGUACUGCAACAGCUCCCAUUGUUCCUGACCAUUGACCAUGCUGGCAGUGGCUGAUGGUCCAACACCAUCUGCAAGAAUAAACAAUUAGGAGAAGAUAAGAUGGAGCAACAGUCUAUGGAUGUGUGCUUAUGAAUUUAGCUGUUGGGAGCAAAACACCCAGUUGUAUGGAAAUGUUUGCCAUGAGGAUAUUCACAUGAAACUGAGCCUCCUCCUUUUUUGUUUUGAAAAAGUUCAACGUGCGUUAGGCAUCCAAGUCAUCAUGUAAACAGUAGCACUCCAAAUCCAGAAAAAGCUUUUUUGCAUGAAUCGCCCGUGGCUUCUUGUGCGCCUGGGAGAGAGGUAUGUGCCACAAACAAUAGUGAAGAGAAGACAUCUGUCCAUAUUUCUUUUAUGCCAAUGAAUAUUAAAAUCCCAUUUAGCACUGGUAUCCUGUUAUAUAGUAUAGUG